CCUACGGGGCGCAGCAGUGGGGAAUAUUGGACAAUGGGGGGAACCCUGAUCCAGCGACGCCGCGUGAGUGAAGAAGUAUUUCGGUAUGUAAAGCUCUAUCAGCAGGGAAGAAAGAAAAUGACGGUACCUGAGUAAGAAGCCCCGGCUAACUACGUGCCAGCAGCCGCGGUAAUACGUAGGGGGCAAGCGUUAUCCGGAUUUACUGGGUGUAAAGGGAGCGUAGACGGCAGUGCAAGUCUGGAGUGAAAGGCGGGGGCUCAACCCCCGGACUGCUCUGGAAACUGUACGGCUGGAGUGCAGGAGAG
rnacentral:rRNA from 1 species